rnacentral:lncRNA from 1 species
CUCCUGCUCUCUAACGGGGUCGUGGCUGGGCGAAAUUGGACACUUUUUGGAGGUAGAGGAACUAACGUCCGGCGAGCAGGACUCUCGUGGCUGGGCCCAUGGCCUCCUGCGCGAGCAUCGACAUUGAGGACGCCACGCAGCAUCUGCGGGACAUCCUCAAACUGGACCGGCCCGCCGGAGGUUCCUUUAGCCAGAUUCAGGAUCCUCCCGUUUGAUUGCGGAGGACAGGAAUUGGAGUCAUGGAUGGUCCCUGGUUAUAUCCAGAGAAUGGCGC